GACCGCGUAUAGCUCAGUUGGCAGAGCAUUGAACUAGUAUCCCAAAGAUCGUGGGUUCGAUUCCCACCGUGGUCA